CAGUCGCCACGGUAAUACGUAGGUGGCAAGCGUUGUCCGGAAUUAUUGGGCGUAAAGGGCUCGCAGGCAGUUUCUUAAGUCUGAUGUGAAAGCCCCCGGCUCAACCGGGGAGGGUCAUUGGAAACUGGGAAACUUGAGUGCAGAAGAGGAGAGUGGAAUUCCACGUGUAGCGGUGAAAUGCGUAGAGAUGUGGAGGAACACCAGUGGCGAAGGCGACUCUCUGGUCUGUAACUGACGCUGAGGAGCGAAAGCGUGGGGAGCGAACAGGAUUAGAUACCCCGGUAGUCCCUGUCUCUUAUAC
rnacentral:rRNA from 1 species